CAAGUACUCCCUCCGUCCGGAAUUACUUGUCAUCAAAAUGGAUGUCUAGAACUAAAAUACAUCUAGAUACACCCAUUUCAAUGACAAGUAUUUUCGGACGGAGGGAGUACAAG
rnacentral:pre_miRNA from 1 species